CCAAACGAGGGUAAUUGCUGGA
rnacentral:siRNA from 1 species